UUAAGUUCAGCGGGUAUCCCUACCUGAUCCGAGGCCAUGCUUUCGGAGACUGGCCGCCCGUCCGGACUUCUCGCCGCAUUUCUCUGCGUUUCGAAGCCAAGACGGGCGCCGAUGUGUUUCGGAGCACCCCUCCCGGGGAGACUCCAACGCAAGGCAAAGCCUUAGACACAAACGGCGCUCGAACAGGUAUACCUCAAGGA
rnacentral:misc_RNA from 1 species